rnacentral:lncRNA from 1 species
GCUCCCUUUGCUGAGUCACAGCCCCCUUGGAGCUGGAGCUGUGACUAGCCGGGAGACGCCGCGCGGCUGGAGUUGAAGCAAAGGGACCUCCUUCCCGUCUGAGAUCAUGCUGGAGGGCUCACACUUGAUUCCAUGAGACUUUGGACCUCCAUCCCCCACCAGGACUGCCCUCCACAAGCAGAUGUUUGUGGGAGAGGAAUGGUGUGAAUCCCCAGCGCUGUCGCCUUCGCUGCCCUGAACUGUUAAGCCUCUCUACUCAUCCUUGGACAGGGAAUAGUGCUGCUCCAUUCUGGUUUUGA